GAUGAACGCUGGCGGCGUGCCUAAUACAUGCAAGUCGAACGAACGGACGAGAAGCUUGCGUCUCUGAUGUUAGCGGCGGACGGGUGAGUAACACGUGGAUAACCUACCUAUAAGACUGGGAUAACUUCGGGACACCGGAGCUAAUACCGUAGAAUAUUUUGAACCGCAUGGGUCAAAAGUGAAAGACGGUCGUGCGGUCACUUAUAGAUGGAUCCGGGCUGCAUGAGCUAGUUGGUAAGGUAACGGCUUACCAAGGCAACGAUGCAUAGCCGACCUGAGAGGGGGAUAGGCGACACUGGAACUUAGCCGCGGACCAGACUACUACGGGAGGCAGCAGUAGGGAAUCUUACGCAAUGGGGGAAAGCCUGACGGAGCAACGCCGCGUGAGUGAUGACGGCCCUCGGAUCGUAAAACUCUGCUAUUAGGGAAGAACAUAUGUGUCCGUAACCGUGCCCAUCUUGACGGUAACGAAUAAGAAAGCACCGGCUAACUACGUG
rnacentral:rRNA from 1 species